rnacentral:rRNA from 1 species
AUGAACUUCAAUAUGCAGGGGAUGGAAAAGACCAUUCCUGAGGUAUAUUCAAUGCUGAUAUCAGCGGAGGUGGAGAUCAAAAAGGAACAUCAAGUGUUGAUGGUGAAUAAAACCACUAAGUUCAAGAAAGGCAAGGGUAAGAAGAACUUCAAGAAGGACGGCAAGGGGGUUGCCGCGCCCGGUAAGCCAGUUGCCGGGAAGAAGUCGAAGAAUGGACCCAAGCCUGAGACUGAGUGCUUUUAUUGCAAGGGAAGUGGUCACUGGAAGCGGAACUGCCCCAAAUACUUAGCGGACAAGAAGGCCGGCAACACCAAAGGAACUGCGGAAUAA